GUGUGUGUGUGUGUGUGUGCGCCUAAUUUCAUGACAAAGGGCCCUGGCUUCUGCAUGACCAAGGUCAGAGGCAACAAGUACAAACACAGGUUUUUGCCUGUCUUAUUGGCUCAAGCUUGUGCUUAUGGGUUCCAGCUUGUUCUUGCUCUCCCUAUUUUACAUCUUGACUGCCUGCCCUGAGGACUUCCAGCUCCAGCAUCAGAUGCAAUGACAAUACCCUUACAGAGACUAGUAUUCAACCAGCAACCACAACUGCAUAAGGCAAGUUGAACGGGGAGUGAGGAGUAACCAGGGAAAAGAAGCAGAUGAGGACACCAUUUACAAGGAUGCCUUGCCCUGGGAAUCCUCCCCACAGGAGUAAGAAGGGAGCUACACUUUACAUAGCAUGUCUGAAGAGUAGUUCCCAAAUACUUGUUCUUGGACAUGGCAGAGCUGGAUGCCCAAGAAUCUCCUGGGAAACAUUAAUUACAAAAACCAAGCAAAACAGAACCCCUGGCUCCACGUUGAUUUGGAGGGGGUAAGAU
rnacentral:lncRNA from 10 species